CCCUUAGAUGUCCUGGGCCGCACGCGCGCUACACUGAGUGUCUGAGAUACGAGUCUGCCUGGUCCGGCAAGGUCUAGGUAAUCGCUAAAAGACACAUCAUGCUUGGGAUAGAUUCUUGCAAAUAUUAAUCUUGAACGAGGAAUUCCUAGUAAGCGCAAGUCAACAGCUUGCGUUGAUUACGUCCCUGCCCUUUGUACACACCGCCCGUCGCUACUACUGAUUGGAUGUUUAAGCGAGGUUCUCGAACUGCUAGCGACUUAGCUUCGGUGAGGUCGCAGGGUGGGAAGUGAACCUAGCUUUGGUGUCUAGAGGAAGUAAAAGUCGUAACA
rnacentral:rRNA from 1 species